GUACAAAGGAGCAGAAGCCAAGUUGGUUUCAAGAUUUCUCUGCAGCACAAACGCCAACUGGACCAACAUCCUAGUGAACUUGAAAGAUAAAGGUCCUGACCCUAAAUUCCAUGCCCGUCCAUGCCCGUUAACCUUGCGAGGUGGCAACAGGAAGUCAUCCUCCUAUAGGCAACAUGUCCUUCUCCAAAGAUAUUCCUGAAGGGUGCGCUCCAGCCCUUCAAGAGAGCCAGAUGGGGACACUCGCUGAGGGGAGGUCACGAGGUGGGGGGGUGGCAGCGACACAUUCGUUCCAUGUGAAUCCUUGUGCAUUUUGGUUAUAAAGUUGAAAAAUGCAUACAUGUGUUUGGAAGGUCUUUAGGGAGUAAAUGGAAGAGUGAACAUUUCUGGACUAGAUGCAUGUGAGUGGUUUGUGUUGUAUGAUACUCUGAGACCUGGGUGUGGGGGGGUUCCUAGCCCCUGUUUGGGCCUCAGUUUUUCUGUUUAUAAAAGGAAAACGUGACCUUUCACCUUGCAAGGGCUACUUUACUCCUUAGCUAGAUUACUGGGACACCGUUGACUGUUGGGUAGGGAGACUCUCCCAUCCCCCUUCCUGGUCUCUCACCAACAUUCCAGAAGUUUUCAGUGACAAUUCACUCCAGGGUUUCUGUGUGCUUGCUUAAGGAAUGGUUUUAUUCAUGGAAUUCCAGGACGCCCCAAGAAAUCAUUUGAGGCUCCUCAGAGAAUUGUAGAACCAGGACUCAACGGCCAUGUUUGUGGUUUGAGGGAGUUAACGGGAUGAAUCCAGUUUUGGGUAAAGCUGACCUGUGACUAAAUGCUGUCUAUAGCUUGACAGCCCCCACUGCCACCCCCAGAUGGAACAGAUAGGGACUCAGCCCAACCAGGCUCCAGAACCGCCCCCGCCUACCCCCAUGGCCUGCCACCGCGGUGGGGUGGCCCUGAACCUCCGUCGGCUUUGGUUCUGCAACUUUUUCCAAACCUGAAGCGUGAUUCACGUCCCAGAUCGACUUGUGGAAUUUCUGAAAGCUGAGGAGUCUGUGCUUCCCAGAGGCUGCCCUACUCCCACCUUUGGUGGCAGCCCGAGAAGGAAGCUGGGAAAACACGCACCACAUUCUUCCUGCAUGAAGCACCGUCCGCAUCGGGGAGGAGGAGAUGGCUAAGAGCCUGGAUGACUCCUGGCGUCUCAGACGGCUCUUUAGAAAGAAAAUACUGGCCAGAGUGGAGGUGGGUGGCCCAUUCCUUGUUCUAGCCGAGGACACAUUGCCAUCCCCCAGCAAGGCGGUCCCCCGGGAGGACUCCACGUGCUAGCAGUGCUGGUAAAGAGAUGAAUAACCCCUGUCUGGUUAAUGGCUGUUUGAUUUCCUCAUGCCAGUGAAAACCGGCCGUUUUCUACUGAGCUUUUAUCUGGAGUGGGGUAUCACCCCUGCUCCACAGCAGAGCGAUGAGAGAUAAAGGCCACAGAGAAGCGGCGGUCUCUGUGGGUCUCUGAGCCAUCGGGGGAGCAACAAUGCAGCCACUGUGCGGCCCACAAAGGAUCACAGGAGAGGGACCCACCAGGGGAGGUGACGGGGAGCAGCUUCCCCGUGGGAACUCUUGCAAAACUGGGACCUACUGUGUGGUACGUGCUAAGGGGCGUCAUGGGCAGUUUCCCUGCGGCUAGAUAGACCCUGAUUCUUCCCCUUUAUUUUUAAAUUUUUUUAGUUAAUAAGCUUUAUUUUUCAAAGCAGUGUUAGGUGCACUGCAAAACGGAGUAGGAAGUACAGAGAUCAGCCGUAUCCCUCCUCCCCCCCAACUCUACUUACAACCCUCCUCCACUCUCACCAUCUCCCACCAGAGUGGUAAUUGGUUACAACUGAUGGACCUAUGUUGACAUGUCAUUAUCACCGAAAGCCCAUAGUUUACACUGAGGUCACUCUUGGUGGUGGACAUUCAUGGAUUUGGGCAGAUAUACAAUGACACCUGUCCAUCAUUACUGUUUCGUAUGGAGUAAUUUCACUGUCCUGAAACUCCCCCAUCUAUUCAUCCUCCUCCACCCCCUGGCAACCACUGAUGUUUUUACUGUCUCCAUAGUUUCGUCUUUUCCAGAACGUCAUAUAGCUGGAAUCACAUAGUCUGAAGCCUUUUCAGAUCGACUUCUUUCACUUACUAACGUGCAUUUAAGCCUCCUGCAUGUCUUUUUAUGACUUGAUAGCUAAUUUCUUUUUAGUGCUGAAUAUUAUUCCAUGGUCUGGAUGGACCACCGUUGAUUUAUCCAUUCACCUUCUGAAGGACAUCUUGGUUGCUUCCAAGUUUUGGCAAUUAUGAGUAAAUGUGCUAUAAACAUCUGCGUGCCAGUUUCUGUGUGGAUAUGUUUCCAGUUCAUUUGGAUAACUAUCAAGGGGCGUGAUUGCUGGAUGAUACGGUCAGAGUGUGUUUAGUUCUGAAAGAAAGCUCCAAAUCGUCUUCCAAAGCGGCUGUACCGUUUUGCCUUGCACCCAUCAGCCGUGGGUGAGAGUUCCUGCCGCUCCACAGCCUCCCCAGCAUUUGGUGUUGUCAGUGUUUUUGAUUUUGGCCAUUCUCACAGAGGACAGGCUCUGGACGCACAGACUCAGUGGCCAUGGCUCACAGG